rnacentral:rRNA from 1 species
CCUACGGGUCGCACCAGUGGGGAAUAUUGGACAAUGGGCGAAAGCCUGAUCCAGCCAUGCCGCGUGAGUGAUGAAGGCCUUAGGGUUGUAAAGCUCUUUCAGUAGGGAAGAUAAUGACGGUACCUACAGAAGAAGCCCCGGCUAACUUCGUGCCAGCAGCCGCGGUAAUACGAAGGGGGCUAGCGUUGUUCGGAUUUACUGGGCGUAAAGCGCACGUAGGCGGAUCGUUAAGUCGGGGGUGAAAUCCUGGAGCUCAACUCCAGAACUGCCUUCGAUACUGGCGAUCUUGAGUCCGGAAGAGGUGAGUGGAACUCCUAGUGUAGAGGUGGAAUUCGUAGAUAUUAGGAAGAACACCAGUGGCGAAGGCGGCUCACUGGUCCGGUACUGACGCUGAGGUGCGAAAGCGUGGGGAGCAAACAGGAUUAGAUACCCGAGUAGUC